rnacentral:rRNA from 1 species
AUUGAACGCUGGCGGCAGGCCUAACACAUGCAAGUCGAACGAGUGGCGGACGGGUGAGUAAUGUCUGGGAAACUGCCUGAUGGAGGGGGAUAACUACUGGAAACGGUAGCUAAUACCGCAUACCAUCGGAUGUGCCCAGAUGGGAUUAGGUAGUAGGUGGGGUAACGGCUCACCUAGGCGACGAUCCCUAGCUGGUCGGAGCGGAUGACCAGCAACCCUGGAACUGAGCCACGGUCCAGAGUCCUACGGGAGGAAGCAGUGGGGAAUAUUGCACAAUGGGCGCAAGCCUGAUGCAGCACUGCCGCGUGUAUGAAGAAGGCCUUCGGGUUGUAAAGUACUUUCAGCGGGGAGGCGUUACCCGCAGAAGAAGCACCGGCUAACUCCGUGCCAGCCGCCGCGGUAAUUC